rnacentral:tRNA from 1 species
GACGAGGUGCCUGAGAAAAGGGCUAUCUUGAUAGGAUAGAUCAUGUGAUUAUUUACCCUCGUUA